UACAGAGGGUGCAAGCGUUGUUCGGAAUUACUGGGCGUAAAGGGCUCGUAGGUGGCCAACUAAGUCAGACGUGAAAUCCCUCGGCUUAACCGGGGAACUGCGUCUGAUACUGGAUGGCUUGAGUUCGGGAGAGGGAUGCGGAAUUCCAGGUGUAGCGGUGAAAUGCGUAGAUAUCGGGAGGAAUACCUAUGGCGAAAGCAGGCUACUGGACCGUCACUGACUCUGAUCUGCGAAAGCUAGGGGAGCAAACAGG
rnacentral:rRNA from 1 species